ACUCUGGUAUUGAUUGGUGCUUGCAUCAUGAUUUACAUUUGAGUGAGUGGCGAACUGGUGAGUAACACGUGGGAAACCUGCCCAGAAGCGGGGGAUAACACCUGGAAACAGAUGCUAAUACCGCAUAACAACUUGGACCGCAUGGUCCGAGUUUGAAAGAUGGCUUCGGCUAUCACUUUUGGAUGGUCCCGCGGCGUAUUAGCUAGAUGGUGGGGUAACGGCUCACCAUGGCAAUGAUACGUAGCCGACCUGAGAGGGUAAUCGGCCACAUUGGGACUGAGACACGGCCCAAACUCCUACGGGAGGCAGCAGUAGGGAAUCUUCCACAAUGGACGAAAGUCUGAUGGAGCAACGCCGCGUGAGUGAAGAAGGGUUUCGGCUCGUAAAACUCUGUUGUUAAAGAAGAACAUAUCUGAGAGUAACUGUUCAGGUAUUGACGGUAUUUAACCAGAAAGCCACGGCUAACUACGUGCCAGCAGCCGCGGUAAUACGUAGGUGGCAAGCGUUGUCCGGAUUUAUUGGGCGUAAAGCGAGCGCAGGCGGUUUUUUAAGUCUGAUGUGAAAGCCUUCGGCUCAACCGAAGAAGUGCAUCGGAAACUGGGAAACUUGAGUGCAGAAGAGGACAGUGGAACUCCAUGUGUAGCGGUGAAAUGCGUAGAUAUAUGGAAGAACACCAGUGGCGAAGGCGGCUGUCUGGUCUGUAACUGACGCUGAGGCUCGAAAGUAUGGGUAGCAAACAGGAUUAGAUACCCUGGUAGUCCAUACCGUAAACGAUGAAUGCUAAGUGUUUGGAGGGUUUCCGCCCUUCAGUGCUGCAGCUAACGCAUUAAGCAUUCCGCCUGGGGGAGUACGGCCGCAAGGCUGAAACUCAAAGGAAUUGACGGGGGCCCGCACAAGCGGUGGA
rnacentral:rRNA from 2 species